rnacentral:rRNA from 1 species
UCCGUAGGGGCCUAGCGUUGUCCGGAUUUAUUGGGCGUAAAGAGCUCGUAGGCGGUUCGGUAAGUCAGGGGUGAAAUCUCCACGCUCAACGUGGAGGGGCCACCUGAUACUGCCGUGACUCGAGUCCGGUAGGGGAGUGUGGAAUUCCCGGUGUAGCGGUGAAAUGCGCAGAUAUCGGGAGGAACACCAGUAGCGAAGGCGGCACUCUGGGCCGGAACUGACGCUGAGGAGCGAAAGCGUGGGGAGCGAACAGG